rnacentral:rRNA from 1 species
CCUACGGGAGGCAGCAGUAGGGAAUAUUGCUCAAUGGGCGAAACCCUGAAGCAGCAACGCCGCGUGGAGGAUGAAGGUUUUCGGAUUGUAAACCUCUUUUGUUAGAGAAGAAAAUGACGGUAGCUAACGAAUAAGCACCGGCUAACUCCGUGCCAGCAGCCGCGGUAAUACGUAGGGUGCCAGCGUUACACGGAAUUACUGGGCGUAAAGAGGGCGUAGGCGGGAUAGCAAGUCAGAUGGGAAAUCUCAGGGCUUAACCAUGGAACUGCAUUUGAAACUGUUAAUCUGGAGUAUGGGAGAGGUAGGUGGAAUGCUUGGUGUAGGGGUGAAAUGCGUAGAGAUCAAGAGGAAUACCAAUUGCGAAGGCGACCUACUAGAACAUAACUGACGCUGAGGCGCGAAAGCGUGGGGAGCAAACAGGAUUAGAUACCCUAGUAGUC